AUACGUAGGGGGCGAGCGUUGUCCGGAAUGAUUGGGCGUAAAGGGCGCGUAGGCGGCCCGGUAAGUCUGGAGUGAAAGUCCUGUUUUUAAGAUGGGAAUUGCUUUGGAUACUGUCGGGCUUGAGUGCAGGAGAGGUAAGUGGAAUUCCCAGUGUAGCGGUGAAAUGCGUAGAGAUUGGGAGGAACACCAGUGGCGAAGGCGACUUACUGGACUGUAACUGACGCUGAGGCGCGAAAGUGUGGGGAGCAAACAGGAUUAGAUACCCUGGUAGUCCACACUGUAAACGAUGAAUGCUAGGUGUAGGGGGUAUCGACCCCUCCUGUGCCGGAGUAAACGCAAUAAGCAUUCCGCCUGGGGAGUACGGCCGCAAGGUUGAAACUCAAAGGAAUUGGCGGGG
rnacentral:rRNA from 1 species